AAUAAUCAGACUGCAUUCUCUAUUCUACCACAUUUUGAGUACGACUCUAUGAGUGAAGCUCCAACAAAGAUAUUAUCCAUGAAACCAGUUUGAAUCGCAUGAGCAUGGAGGCAAAGAGCUUGUUGAAGAUUCCCAAAUUCUGAACAUUCCCAACCCCCAUCUCCAUCUCCAUCAUUCCCAAACCCAACGAGGUAUUCAUGAGAUGCAUCAUGGAAUACAGUUUCUCUUUGUAAAAGCAUCACAUCGAUGAGUAAUAAAACGCACACACAAAGAGUAGUAUUAAUUGCACAUAAGAUCAGGGUACGCAGUUUAAAAAAAAAAAAAAAAUCCUUACAAUUACACAUAAAAUCUAGAUAUAUUGAUCAGCUUUCGUGGUGUACUAAUCAAUUGCAUGUUUUCAAGUUUUUGUAGACCCAAACCAAUGUCCCAGUGAGGCUUUGUUCUUGCCAAUUAACAAGACCAAGGCAGACAUUGACAUGAAAAAGAAACAACACAUGGUGCCCUUAGAAUACGGCUGAAUCUUGUUUGGAUCGACACUAGCCCUCUUUGUCUUUAUAGAACUGUUUUGUUCCUCCGAGUCACUUGCUCUUUCAGUAAUUCCAUGAAUAGUCAACUUAGUCUCAACUACGCAAGUAUCAAAACACAAAAUCCGACUUGCAUAAUCCAACGUAGUGAAAUUCCAACCAUAACCUAGCCCGCCAAUAGUGUAACACCACUUGACUGCAAAAGCGCAAAUGGGACAUGUAAUUAGAGGAUUGAAAUAAAGAUGAAGAAAUCGAAUAUAGAUACUUAACAUGCAAUUAUGUUCAGUAGUUUUGUUAAUAGUUACAAAACUAGCUAGCUAAUAUAUACCUGGAUCCGUUCGGCUCCAGUAGAGGCCACUACACAAUGGAUGUACAAUGGGUAUGGAAAGCUCUGCAAAUACUUUAGUGGCAGGAGGAGUUGCUUUUCGAUCAACCAAUUGCAAGUAAAUACCAAUAUGUCUGUUUUGUUGGUCAACUCCCUUGGGAUAGAGUUGUAUAAUCCUGCAUGCAUGCAACAAUACCAAGAUGAACAAUGUAUCCUACAUUCCUAGCUACUCAAAAGUCUAGCAAAUAUAAUGAUAACAGACUUAACUAUGUAUAUGUCGCUAGUAAGGCUUAAUUAGCAUACCAUUUUUGAUCUUCAACAGUGAAUGGUUCUGAGGGGUAGUAUGGAUCAGUUAAACUUGAAAAAUUCCUAAGCUUCCAAAUAUACUUGUACGUUUUGGGACUUUUUACCCUCGAUAUACAUUCUCCCAUUCCUCUUCUUGUCUCUUUACAAACAAAGACCUCGGCUCCAAAGACGCACUUGUCAUCAACGAGGUAUCCAUGAGAUGCAUCAUGGAAUUCAUCUAGAGGCACUAGUUUAUCAAAACCCAC
rnacentral:lncRNA from 1 species